CUGACAGGCAUGAGCUAGUCAAUAAUCUGG
rnacentral:piRNA from 1 species